rnacentral:lncRNA from 1 species
GAAUUAAAUCGUCUCUCAACCAAUGAAUAAUCUAUGAUACGAGAGUUUUUAUAGGAGGGAUCUAAGUCAAAAGGUACUUCAAAAGGUUGAGAUUGUUUUGCGGAAAAUGCAUAGUACAGUAGCUGAUAAUAAGUCAAUUAUCUUUGUUCACUACUUUACUUCUAUCAGCAAUUGUAAGCAAGAAACAAAGAGAAAAUCAAUUUCACUUGCCUCAAGCUCAAAGUGGUUGUGGUUAUUAGUACUCUGCCAAUGGCCACUGACAGUGUUAUGCUGCAGGUACUCAGCCGAAUCCAGUUGAUGAUCAUCAUCUUGUAUCGAUCUGCAGUCUGUUUUUUGGUGCUGACACCUUGGAGACGCUGAUGGAAUAACUUUUACUGCAAAAAGAAGUAACUGAGAAUCCGGUUUGCGUGAAGUUGUAACUGAUCAACGUUUCUCACUUUUACAUAGCAGGUCAGUUAAAAACCUUCACUUGGGAUUCUCUUAGAAGAAAAUCCUUGUUUCCAUUAAAUACAUAGAUUUAUACACUGAAGAUGUUAUGGUUUUAUGUUGUUUCUGGUGAUAUUUAGUUCUUCUACGCGAAGGAAAUAACAACACAGCAAAAGAAAACAGCAGA